CCAAGAUUGUGCCACUGCACUCCAGCCUGGGUAAUAAGAGUGAAACUCCAUCUCCAUUAAAAAAAAAAAAAAAAAAAGUUCUUCAGGAUUCUAAUAUGUAACCAGAAGUGAGAAUCACUGAUGUAGAUGAAAAUUGGUAUUUUUGCAUUUAUUCUAUUCAGUGUUUGUUUUUGAUGUUAAUAGUUGGACAGAAUCCUAGAAAAGUAAGAAUACUUUUUCCUUGCUUUCUCUAUCCAUACGCCCCCUUAUGGAAAUAAUAACAUUUUAAAAUCAGAUAAUUUUGGAAGUAUGUAAAGUAUUCACUUGAAUUAUUUGAUUUUAAUACCAGAGACUUUCAUCCCUGCUGAGGGUAUGAAAGAUGACUAUUCCCUAUUAUAUACUUAUAUUUAUAAGGCAACUCCUCAACCUUGUUUCAAAGGUGUGUGCGUUUGACCAGAAACCCUUUCUAUUAGCAUGAUAUUAAAUAUUUUUCUCCUCCUACAGGACUUGAACCGGACUGUAUGGCGGAGGGUAGAGGAAGCCUUAUGGAUAGGGAAGGAUAAGUAAGGCUGCCAUUGCAGCUGUUGCCUUUUGUCAUAUAAAGUCCUCUCCCAUCUUUUCUUCUUUGUAAGCUUUUGGAAUCUUCUAAUUCUCCACCCAUAAACUUCAAAGGCUAGGAGCUUAGCUGGGUAAUUUUGGGCAAGUUACUUCACUGUUCUUUCUGUAAGUUUAUUUGAAAAAUCAAGAUGAAUGUAGUACCUACCUCAUGAUGAAUACUAAACCAUGGUAUAGCUGUUUUGUUCCAGACUUCAUAGAGGCAGUAUGUAUAGUGAAGAACAGAAACUUUGACAUCAGAUGAAUCUUACUUGAAUCCUGAUUUCAGAACUUUUAGCUCAGUGCCUCUUGCCAGGUUGUAUCACUUCUGAGUCUCAGUUUCCUCGUAAGUAAAAUGGGAGUGAUAAAAAGUCCUACCUUUUGUGGUGUUAGGAGUGUGCAGUAAGAAUUUGGUGCUUUUCAUAGUCCCUGGCGUCUAGCAAAUACUCAACAGAUGGUGGCUUUUGUCAUUAUAAUUUUUAUUCUUUUGGGUCCUACUUCAGCAUACACAAAUAACUGGACCCUGUCUAUUGACUAAAAAGUAGAAAACAUUCUAAAAAACAAGUUGGGUUCAAGUGUAGAUUUUCACCAAGUGGCACAGUUUAUUGACAUAAAGUAGUAUUUGCAGAGUGCAGGAAGUGCAGCAUUGAGCAGUCCCAGGACAUCUCUGACUUUAGAUCCUCUCUUUUGGGAUGUAGAGUAUUUUCCAGUUCAGACCAAACUUUCCUAAUGCCUGGUAUGUAACAGAUACUGUUUGCUGAGUUAUUCUCUCCAUUAUACUAUGGUGGAAAUUGAGGCAUAAGAGAUUGAGUGACUUGCCUGAGGUCACACAGCGGUAGCUUUAAGUAUAGUUGACCCUUGAACAACAUGGAUUUGAACUGCAUUUGUCCACUUCCACAUGGCUUUUUUGUUUUUUUCCCUAACCAAACUUGGAUGGAAAAUAAAAUAUUUGCAAGGCAAAUUUGAGGGCAGACUUUUCAUAUGGGUGAGUUCUAUAAAGGCUGACUGUGGGAGUUGUGUGUGUACAGAUUCUGGUAUGAGGAGUAGGGGUAGGGCUUUGGCGGAUGGUGGUGGUCCUAGAACCAAUCCUCCACACAUACUGAGAGAGAAUUGUGCAGUCAGUCCUCAUUCUCAUGGAUUUCAAAUUUGCCUACCCACCAAAAUGUAUUUGUAACCCCUAAAUCAAUACUUAAGGUGCUUUAACAGGCAUUUGUAGAUGUGCAGAGUGGUGAGAAAUUUGAGUUACCCAAUGUACAUGUUCCCAGUUGAAGUAGCACAAAGCAAUGCUGUGCCUUUGUGUUUCAGCUCUCAUACUAUAAACAGGUGUCCUUUUCUUAGUCUAAUGAGUGUCAGGUUGUUUUGUUGUUUGCAUUUUUGUGGUUUUUCUUGAUUAUUUUUAUUGUUUAGAAGGGCCAGGAAGUGGUGUCUAGUGUCACUAAAUUGAAGUGCUGUCUAGUGUCACUAAGAGCAAGAAAGCUCUGAUGUACCUUAUGGAGAAAAUACUGUUAGAACUAAGUUUCAUUUAGGCAUGAAGUUAUAAUGUUCUUGGUGUAAGUUCAGUAUCAAUGAAUCAUUACCAUACAUCUAGAAAAAGAAAGAGGAAAUUUGCCAGUCUACCUGAUUGCUAUAGUAACAUCUCUAGUUUGUGGUACAGCUAAGGAAAGAUAGGGUAAUGACUAAAUGUAUGGAUUCAUGAGAUUAUGACCUUUUUUUUUUUUUUUUUUUUUUUUUUUUUUUU